AUCGCUUCUCGGCCUUUUGGCUAAGAUCAAGUGUAGUAUCUGUUCUUAUCAGUUUAAUAUCUGAUACGUCCCCUACCCGGGGACCAUAUAUUAAAUUGAUUUUUGGAAUAGGGAGAUGGAAUAGGGGCUUGCUCCGUCCACUCCACGCAUCGACCUGGUAUUGCAGUACCUCCAGGAACGGUGCACCCCUC
rnacentral:snRNA from 1 species